ACAUGCUUGCAACGUAAUGUUAAUGCAUCGAAUCCCAUUAGAACUUCUCUGUUAAGCGCGCUCAGGCUAGAGUAGUACUGGGAUGGGUGACCGCCUAGGAAGUCCUUAUGUUUUACAUGCC
rnacentral:rRNA from 1 species